CAUUUAAAGAAACAGUACCGGGGGCGGGCCGAGCGACGCAGCCGGGACGGUAGCUGCGGCGCGGACCGGAGGAGCCAUCUUGUCUCGUCGCCGGGGAGUCAGGCCCCUAACUCGAAGAAGCCCUGGCGCGCCCUCCCCCCCUCCCCGGUCUGGUAGGGCGAAGGAGCGGGCGCGCGGUCGAUCGAGCGAUCGGUUGGCGGCUCUUUCUCCUGCUCUGGCAUCCAGCUCUUGGGGCGCAGGCCCGGCCGCCGCGGCGCGCGCCCGGUGGCCGUUGGCGCUCGCGCCGCGUCUUUCUUCUCGUACGCAGAACUCGGGCGGCGGCCUAUGCGUUUGCGAUUCGACGAGGAGUCGUCCGGGUGGUCGGCGGCGGCGGGCAACUGCUCCGCCCCGCUCCCGGGGAGGCGGCGGCGGCGGCGGGAUUUGGCGCGGCCGGGGAGGCGGGGGUGGCCGGGGCCGGCCUGGAGGCCUGGCGCCACCCUUCGGGGCCUGCAAGGACCCAAUUGGGGGGGCAAGAGGGCGCUGGGGGAUGGUUGGUGGUGGGCUUUCUACUUUGCCUUUUCCUCCUUAUGCCCCCUUAGUGAGGGGCGGGAGCUCUGGCGGCAGCUCCGGGGUGGGGAGACAAGCCCCGGAGUCGGAAGAGCUGGGUUUGCUUCCGGGCCUAGCCACCAGCUGGCCGAGUGACCUUAGGCAAAUCACUCUGUAAUUUGUCGGCGCCUCAGUUUCCUUCUCUGCCUAUCAAUGUUUGUGGGGUUGAAAGCGCUUUGUAACGUAUAAAGCGUCGGUGUACGGAAGGGAUGAUUAUUGUUUGUAAUGGGGUUUUUUUUUGAGUUGUAAGAAAAGUUAGCAAUUGCCCAGUUCUUGAAUUUUGGAACCUGGGAACCUUGGAUUGAAGUUGGAGAUCCCCCAAACUCCCCGAAAUUGUAUGUAGAAAUAGUGGGAGUGUGCAUUUUGUGGACUGAGGAUCCAUCGCCAGCAAGUUAUCAAAGGGGGCUGUAACCCAGAAAAGUUAAGAACUACAAUUGUUCUAUGCCACAGGGAGGAAAUUGAGGCCUAGAUGUCAUUUGGGACCCUUCACAACCGAUUUGAAGCCCCUGUUUGAAUCCCUGGGAUAUGUGAGCUGUUUCUAUGCAUAAUGGAUAUUUGGGGUAACAACGCUCCACUGCUUGGCUUCCAUUCUGAGUCCUUUUCCCUUUACCAUGGGGUGCCUGAAGGGUAGCUGACACGUUGGUAUGGUUCAAUGGCACCCAACAUAAAGCAGCUAAAACGAGAAAUGGGUGUGUUCUCUAGUAUCAAGAAGCCUGUUGAAGCUUUGGCCCAGCAAUUCUUAGUGUUCUGCUGCUUAUACUGGUACCUGACUACCUGUCUCUUUCAUUGACCAUUUUCCACAACCAUGGUUGCCAUCCAUUACUUGCUUCUAUUUUAUAUCCUUAGUCUGUGCGGUUGGUAGUGAGCAGGCUUAUUUUUAAAUGGUGCUGCUGAGUCCAGCUAAUUAAUGGUGCAGGUGGAUUUUUAGCAAGCUGGCUCACUGGUACACAGACUAAACCAGGCCUGGAAUUCCUGAAGAUGUUUGGGGGUUUAUCUUUAUUAAUUGAAGGUUAACACUCUCUGAAGAGUUUUGUUAUGACUUCUGCUGAACUUCAAAAUCAGUAGAUUUGGAAGUGUUUCAAUGCUUAACUUUUUUUCUGGCCUGCUUUGUAUUCUCUUUGCUUGCAAGUGUGUUACUAAGAUGGCCAAAAUGCCAGUUAUUGCUUCUUUGUUAAUUGUCAGCUGCUUUUAUCAAAUUCCAGGCCAUUGUCCAGCAAACACUAUAGAAAUGUUUGAACAAUUGGAUUUCAAACAUUUUAAUUUUGUGGAGUGGUGCUUACCAGUGGUACAGCUCUAAGCAAGUGAACAUAAACACAUUUAAGUGUAUUUUGUCUGGUUAGGUGUUUACCUGUUUUGCUAUUUCAUACAAAUGUCUGAGAAAAUCAGUUGACUAUUCCUUUUACCUAAAGGGCAAAGACAAAUGAUCUCACUUCCAGAGAAAUGACUGUUUUGGAGAAAAAUGUGUUGGUCUUUUAGCUCUUUUGUUAUUAUCUGGAUGUACCUCAAAAGAAUCUUAAGACUGUGGUGAUCUUAUAAGAUGCUUUCCUCGGGAGAAAGGAGGAAAAAAAACAACUGGAACUCAAAGCUUGAAAUUCUGUGACAAAACAUGAGAUGUCCAGGAUAGGAGGCCGAAAAGGUUUCACUACAGUGUUCUGCACUAGCUGGAGCAGAUGAUUUUCUGUGUAGCCACGGCAUGGCCUCCAGAUUUCCAGAUUUUCAACACUUGGGACCUGAAGAGUGUGUCAGGAUGUGACAGGAACUUUGGAGCUGAAUAUUUUUGGUUUUGAAUUUGGGGGCUGUUGACCUUGCUUUGAGAAGAGACAGCAACUGAGCAAGCGCUGCCACCAGCACCAUUACUGGGAAUUUGAAGACCUGAGUUUCUGCCAGACCUUCAGUGCAAACUCUAGCAACACUCCAUCAAAAGUGAACUACGUCCUGUGCCUCCUGAUUGCUGAGUGUUCACCUGGACCUUCUGACUACCUUCCUUGUACUGUUCCAUCAGCCUACAGAUCUGGUACCUGGAUUUUUGCCCUUGGUGAUUCCUUCACCUUACUGCUGAAGAAGACACCAUUCCAGUGGGCCACUGUGAUCCAAGAGGCAUUCAACCAUCAUGAUGUGGCCUUCACCUCCACUCCUGUCCUGUUCCACCCAGAUUCAGCACAGCCCUUUAUAGUGAAGUCAAACUGUUUAAGUCAAGUAGCUGAAGCUAUUUUAUCACAACAAAGGCCCCAUUUGUUCCUUGAUUGUGCAUUUCAUUUCUUCAGUUAAAGCCUUCAGAGACACAUAAUAAAUUUGGACCAGAGGAUUUUUAGUUAUCAACACUGAAGAAUGACAACAUCUUUUCAAGAACGGCAUUGGACCAUACCCCACAAUUUCAAAUGAUUGAAAUUCAUGAAGUGUCUAGGAUCCUCUCCAGGUCACUGGAUCUUAUUCUUUUUCCACUUCAAGUCUAUAGUAGCCUACUGAAUAGAAAGCAGAUAUUCUGACCAGCAGAUAUCGGGAUUAAAACAAAGGCACAGUGAACUCACAGCAUCUUUGGGAUUACUCAGGAACCAGAACUUUUCACACAAAUUUAAGAAAUUCUGCCAAGGAAUCCCUUUAUCUAACAGCAUCUCACAAAGCUGCAGUCAGAUUCCAGAAAAGGCAUCUUGAUACAUCCAGGUAGAACCUAUAAUGGUAAUCCCUUAUGUUUAUAUAGCACUUUAUAGUUUCAAAGCACUUUUACAUGCAUUAAUCUCAAUUAUCAAAAUAACACAGUAAAUUAUAAUCCCUUUUUGCAAAUGAGGAAAUGGAAAUUUAAAAGGUUAUCCAAGGUGACACAGCUACAAAGUGGUAGAGGUCAGGCCUUCUGACUCCCAGUCCAGUUCUCUCCAUGGAAUUAACUUAGCUUCAACUUUACCUGCAGUGUUAAGAUGACUGGAGGUUGGUAACCCCAGAAAAGUUUUCAACUUCUGAUCUGGUACCCUCAGUCAGUCAGGAUGUCAUAAGUGUAAUCUUGUGAUGGCUGCACCUAGACCAGAAUUCCAUGGCAGUAUCCCUAAGGUUUAAGAGAGGACUGUCUCCAUAGUGGCAGAUUAUUCCAGUCAACAAGGCACACGUUCAUCUGACAAUAAGACUAUGUAACAUGAAACACAAAGCUACUUUUAGAUCUGUUGUUCCCAUGGUCUUCCCAAAUGGCCUAAUUGAUUGGAGAUCCCUGUUCAUGUUUUGUUCUCUUUUUUUUUUUUCCUAGGUCUUACUAAUAACUCUUAGACACCAAGAUCUUAUCUAUGGUCCUCUACCCCCAAACAUGUACUUGACAUGAGUCCUACAUUUUUUUAGAGCAGUGCUGUUCAUAUAUGUGUGUAUGUAUAUUUGAUGCAUACUCAUAACAUGUAUACGUAGAGCUUCCAUAGUCCUGUAAGAUGGUAAAAUAUGUGUUCCCUCCCCUGAUUCAUUGUAGUGUAUUAAAGGAUCUCAGAAGGCUUGCGACAAAGAGCCUCAUUGAGCUGUUUAGCCCAGUGUGUCCUAAGUAUAAUUAAACACAGAAUGUUAUUGUUGCAGCAUUCCUUUAAACGGAAUGGGGAAACUGCUUUAAUGCAGUAUAGCCAGUACUGGAGACCCAGGAGUAAACAGCAUCUUUGAAGCCCCUCCCCCCAUUUCUGACUUUGUCAAUAACUGCUUGAAUUGGUAUGUCUUUAUCAUCUGAGAGUCCUACAUCUUGACCAUUACCUCUGUUUUUCUGUUAAAGGAACCAUUAGAAGAUCUGUGAGGAUAUAUGGGAAGGGAAUGGGGAAAAGUUAAUGUUGACCCCCAAAUUGGAUGAGUUCCAUGACAUUUAGCAAUAUACUUCUCUGUCCUUAGAAUUGUGCUGUAAAUCUAGCUCAAAGGCAUUGAAUCUCAGGUGGGUGAGGAGAUUGGGAAGGGAAGGGAGGAGGAGAAAGAUGGAAAAAAGGGGGAGGAGGGAUGAGAAGGAAAUAUUUUCUUAGAAUUUGAGUUGUGGCCCAUUGAGAUCUUACCAGUGCUUGAAGAGAAGUCCUCUAGCCAUGGACUUGGGAUAAUAUUUGCAAAGAAAUGGAAUGCAUUUUGCAGACGUAUGCUGACUGCAAAAAUCCAAUGCUGUUGUCACUUAAAACCAAUAGCCUGUUCUCUGAUAGUCACAAACCCAGUUUGAGGCCAUCAGAAUUUACAGCAAACUUGAAUGUUAACAUCAUUCUGUAAUGUGGCCCAUAUUAGGGAAAGAAUGACUAGGAAAACACCUUCUUGGCUUACCACAGACUUUGCUCACAGUUUCUGGUUUCUGUGACCUAUUUUUUGUAUUUCAGCAUUUUGUGAACAACUUAUUCUUAGAUCAUUGGUUUUCCAAAGGCUUUGUGACCAUGAAGCCCUUUGGAUGAAAACUGUGUGGAAGCCCAGAGUAAAAGAGAAGCUGCUGUAGAUGAAGCAGGAGUGGGGGGCCUGAAACCUGCCACACAAGCAUCUUCCUUUACCACCAUGGUGACCCCUAAGGAGACUUCUUUACAACACCUAGAAUUCUUCAGAACACAGUUUGAAAACCACUGCCCUAGACAACAUGUGCAACCUGAAUGGCAUUCUGAUCUGUACCUCUACCCAACCCAGUCCGUGUUCAGUUGAUGCUGCACAUUCUUAGGAAUACUUACCGUGGGCAGAAUCAGAAAAGUGCAAGAAGAUGGGCAUAUCUUUGCCCCCCCAGAGUAGUCAUGUGGGCCGAAAGUGGUAUCAAAUGGACCUAGAUUAGCAGCCCUGUACCCCCAGAUGGAUUUCAAGUCAGUGAUUCCUGGGAUUCAAUAUAGUCAGCAAUUCAUAUGUACUCCACACUGACACACCCCCUUACUCAGCCUCUUUAACAAACACCAGAUGCUCUAGCGGUACUUGAAAUAUGUAACUUUGAAGUCUUGAUCCUCCUUGGAUACCUGAAUCGCCAGGUAUUGAAGCUGGUACUAAAGUUGAUGAUGCCUCAUUGAGGCCAUAUUAGACCAACUUGUACAUUGGACCUCCCAUCAUCAGCCAUGGUACUUUACUUCGUGUGCAAGGGAUAACCAUUACCUAUGAAAGUAGAACUGAAAUUCUGGCAACAUUACCUAAAAGGGUACCUGGUUAUUCAUCUUAUUCUCAAAACUACAAGUCACUAUGACUCAACCAGUGGCAGUUACACUGCUUCUUGGUUAUUAUUCAGUUUAACUGCUGUUUCCAGGAUAAAUGAGCUAAUAACCUUAAAAAAGUUUCCUCCAUCAUUGGCAUGUCUGCUCCACAAUUAUGAAUACUCUGCUCUAACUACAUGUAACACCUGAUCCACAAGAGACUAUUUUUGAAUAUCCUCUCUCAUGUAUGUGAUUUUAAAUGUGAUCUUUUGGAAAAUUUUCUUCUAACCAAUGAGAGGUGUUCUUUUAUGAUGGCUCUUUUGAUGUCUGGUACCAUCAACUUCAGGUGUUAGGGAUAUUUGGAGGUAGGCCUCUUGACCAGGCCAUAGUAGCUUGCUUGCUGGGCAUCUCAAGUUACAUAUCAUCCACCUUUUUGCUGGAAAUGUAGACUGACUUGAAAAUCUACAAAGCCUGCAGCUAAGAUUUUAUCAGUAGACUCAAGAGCUUCCUGCAGCUUCUUCCUAAUGUUACAAGACCAGUGUCUUGUCUUUGUGGAUGUUUUCAUGGAAUUUCAUCUGUCUCAGUACUGUUGUUUUAUACUGAUUCAGAGUGGCUGACUUCAUUCCUUGCUAUGAGAUACUCUCAGGCAUUAAGACACUUACCUGUUUCUACAGGAUGGAUUCAGUUCGUGAACUCCCAGACCAGAUCAUGUCAAACAAGUAGACUUCAAUUUGUGUCGUGAGAAAAAUCUCAGUCCCUUACUUCACAAUCUACUUAAGGGCCAGCUGUCCUCAACUAUACUCUAGUGAAUGCACUGGUUAAAUGUUGGGAAUGGUUUCUUUGUAUCUUUGUCUCUUAUUCUCUAGACUAACCCUGAUUACAUGACUCUGUCUACAAAUCAUCAAACAAGGCCUGUGCAUCCUCAACUAAUAAAAAUCUAAUGACUAGCUUGCUUGUAUAUACAACUAUUUGUUAAUAAGAAGUUAUCUACAAACUCCAUUUUUCUACUACCUUCAAAACGUCAGCUCGAUUUUCUCUUCUGUACUUACAGAAAAAGACACUGAUCUACACUGCCAGUCAUUCCCUUUAAUCCUGUCAAAUGCAGUCAAAAUGAGGGGCUUAAGGUGAGGAUGAUCAUCUAUUCAAGAGUCUAAUGUACGCUGUGUAUAAGAAUUGAUGGUUGAAAAUGAAGAAAGCCUAAAACUCAAACCCAGGAUCUUAACUACUAUCUGCCUGCCUCAGAUCUCAAUCUAAGUCUUUCAGCAGCACCAUCCAACCAAUCUAAGGCCUUGUUUAUAAGCUGAUUCUCAGAGAUGGGCUGAGUUUCAGAAGAUGGAGACUUGAUUACCAAAGAGAGUAGGGCCAACCUUCAUGAACCUGGCUCUCCCAACCUUGUCAUUCCCAGAUGUAGCAUAGACUCCUCAACAGAACCUCAAGUCUGAAUUGAGAAUAUAGCCUUCUACUGAGCUGAAAGUUCUGGGGCAGAUAAACAGAAAAAUGAAAGCUGCUAUACCUGACUGGCCCUUUAAGAUCAGAAAAUGAUAUCCAGAGUAAACCUACUAAGGAAUGACCCUGGAGUACUCAGGGUAAAAACUAAUUUACAGAGCUUCGAUAUCAAUCUACCCAUUUUUCCAGAUCACAUCCUGGCUAUUGGUGUGGCUAGCCCUGCUGAAGGUACCCUAUUUGUCUCUUUAGACUCAGCCCUUGUAUGCCUUUUUUGACAUGUUGGCAAUCAGACUGGCUGUGCAUGAGAGAACUACAACUGGUAUCAGCCUGUCUUACACUCAGUUCCACCAAGGAGUUUUGAAUAGAAGCAGCCUGCAUCUCACACACACACACACACACCCCCAGGACUUAAUGUUCACAACUGGAAGGACUGUGCUAUAUACUACUUGACCAGCAGCCCUUUUUUUUUUUUCUUAAGUGCAGAGUAAGCCUCUACAAUUAUAUAUAUUUCAUCAUUUUCAGCACUUGAGACCCCUUCUACCAGAUCUGAAGGACUACAGAUUGAAAGCACUGUCCAUUCCUCUCUUCUGCAGUAAUACAGAGGUGACAGAAAUGUACCACUUCACCUUGACAAAAGACUAAAGGAAUGCAAGAAAAGUUUUCCACUGAACUUAGAAGUUACACUGACUUAAUAGCCUCACAGAACUAUUUGCCAGUGGGAGGCUUGUUGUCCUGCGUUGUGUCUGCAAGAUGGCUGGGCUCUCAGAUUCAAGGCCACUGAGUUUACUUCUGUUGAAACGCUAUUGCAUCAUCCAAAGUAUGCUAUUGGACACAAUUAUUCCAUUGAAAUGGAUUACAAGCUUCCUGAGUACAGGACAAAUUUAACUCCUCAUGGUGUUUUUUCAGAAUACUUUUAUUGUCAAGAAAGUAACAAAUGCCAGCUGUUAGUGAACAGAUACUAAACUUUUUCAGUAUUAUGGGUCAUAUUGACAUCAGGUUUUGAUUGACCAGCAUCCAUUCCAUCUCUUUGUAGCAACUCUGUGAUGUUUCUUGGAACCACUUUUCCGUAUCUUCAGUCCACAUGAUUCAGACAGUCUGGCCCAACUUGAAGCUUCAUGGGUGGACAUGUAAUUCAGACCUGAUCAAUCAGCAUAGUCCAUUCUUUCACCAAAAAGAUUGGUUCUGGAAUGGUUGUGUGAUCCAAGUUGGUCCAGUGAUACUCAGCCCUAGGAGUUCUACUGAACUGUGGAGGAGAAGCUCAGAAGCUCUCUUUACUGAGGUUGCUUGGCUUUGUAGUAUGAAAAGCUCAAACCAACAGGGCCCACCAUAUCAAAUGAGCCAGAGAAUGAAGCCAGUGCAGAGCCAAAUGAUGGAGAGACUUGAGUCCUGAUGACAAUGUUUGUGCCCCUGGAUCCAACCGUGCCUGAAGCUAGUAUAUCCCUAUGGACUUUUCAGUUAUGUGAGCCAAUAAAUACCCUUUUUUGCUUUAAGUUA